GUGUCAGCCGCCGCGGUAAUACAGAGGGUGCAAGCGUUAAUCGGAUUUACUGGGCGUAAAGCGUGUGUAGGUGGCUACCUAAGUCGAUUGUGAAAUCCCUGGGCUCAACCUGGGAAUUGCAGUCGAUACUGGGCAGCUCGAGUUCGGUAGAGGGUGACGGAAUUCCCGGUGUAGCGGUGAAAUGCGUAGAUAUCGGGAGGAACAUCGAUGGCGAAGGCAAUCACCUGGGCCUGAACUGACACUGUGACACGAAAGCGUGGGUAGCAAACAGGAUUAGAUACCCCGGUAGUCC
rnacentral:rRNA from 1 species